UACGUAGGGGGCAAGCGUUGUCCGGAAUCAUUGGGCGUAAAGAGCGUGUAGGCGGCUUGGUAAGUCCGCUGUGAAAGUCCAGGGCUCAACCCUGGAAUGCCGGUGGAAACUGUCAGGCUCGAGUCCGGAAGAGGCGAGUGGAAUUCCUGGUGUAGCGGUGAAAUGCGCAGAUAUCAGGAGGAACACCAAUGGCGAAGGCAGCUCGCUGGGACGGUACUGACGCUGAGACGCGAAAGCGUGGGGAGCAAACAGGG
rnacentral:rRNA from 1 species